AUCCGAUUGUCGUCGUCGUCUGAUGGUCUGACUCCUGUUGAUUCGUUUUUGUUUCUGUUUGAUGUGUGACAUGUGGGUCGUGACCUUUUGUAUAUUUCGGAUCGAUCUGUUCUGACCAGAGUCCAUCCACCAUUCCAACAUUUCCCCUUCGUUGAGCUCGUCCAGGUGCCGCGAUUUUGCUCUCCCCCUUUCUCCGAUCUCGUCUAGGUGAGGCGAUUUGAGUUCUUUCGUUUCAAUUUGUUAGUUGAGAUUAGGGCACAUCUGAUUUUAUUUGAUUUGUUUCUGAUUGGUCUAGGAUUCUUCGACUUUUCCCCUUCUCUCUCUGAUUCUGACCACUUGAGUUAUUCGAUUUUAUCCAGCCAUCAGAUUGACGGAUCAAUAUAGAGGGUUCCUUUUCAUUUGGUUCAGUGCUGAUUGGGCUCGCAUCUGAAUCUGGUGAGCUGCUCUCUAAGUCAUGGCCAUCAGUGUGUAUUCAGUGAAAUUUCUCGAUCUGAAUCGAUUUGAUUUUUUUUUGUUAUACAUCUGCCUGAUCGGCAAUACAUGUGAUGAUCCACUUGGAUGGCAGUUGGAUUCUAAAUCUUAGGCCCGGUUUGUAUAAACUUCAUUACUUCUCCUGCUCCUGAUAGAUAUAGGCUAUGCUUGGCAGCUUCAUGGGCAGACCCACAUUACUUCUAGUAAAUCUGCAUAUUUCUAUCAGCUGGGUUAGCCUUCUUUUUAUGCAGCUUGUUACUUUAUCUGAUUCUAUAUCCUAGAUGACACCCACACCAAUAAGGACAUCAACAAAAACUCACAGCAAUAGACCAUAACUCUCAGUCUAGCUCCAAUAUUUUUCCUCAUUUAGUUAUAUAUAUAAUUUGGAUCGGCUGAUUAGCAGUUUUCAACCAAGUUCUUUGUACGGUGCAUUCUAAAUUAGCUAUACAUGUACCUUUUCACAUGUAGUUCUGCACUUACAGUCUAUAGUUGUUGUAGUUACAGUAACCAUUUUACUGUAAUUCUUAUAUAAGCAAGAUGUCAUUUUUAUUAAUCAAUAUGUUUUCCACUCUGAAUUGAUAUAGUUUCUCAUAUUUUUUCUUUAGUAUCACACCACUUGAACCACAUGCUACGUGAUCAUGUUCUAUGAAAUAUGCAUUUAUAAAUAUUUACUGAUUUGUUAUGUGAAAAGAAUUUUAUCCGAAUGAUUGUUGCCUUCCUUUUUCAAUUUGGCUGACAAGGAUACACAGUGAUAGUUAUGCUUCUACCUCGAAUUUUUGGUUACCAAUUAAUACGAGGUAGUAUUGUCAUUUUCGUAUUUUAUUUUGCCUCAUGAGUAAUUCAUUUGAGGUUUACUUGUCUGCUAUGUAAGGCCGAUCAGGUUUUGUUACAUGGUUUUAGUUAUUUUUCUAUCUGUGCCUACCCUGCCUUGGUUGCGAUUUGGCACCUGAUCCUUACGCACUCAUGCCGCCUGCAUGUUUUCAUUUUACUGAUAUACAUUCAUCUAGUGCAUAAUCAUAUGAAUGAACUUUAUUGUUAACCUAGCACUUUACAUAUAAAUUUGUUUAUCUUAUUUUACAUUGCAGAUCAAUAUUAUUAUUCUUCUAGCUCUUGUAUAUGAGUUACAUGUACCUGCUGUUGGAAUUACAGUCUAGAUACUUAUAAGUUACAGUUUCUGUACUGGUGUAAAUCAUGAAGAAUUGUCAUAUAUGAUCUUUGCUUUAUGUUCCCUUCAACCAAUUAGCACCCCCAAGAUGUAUUUCCACUGAGCAUAUUUGUUUGAAAGGCACCAUCUUCUCAUCAGCAGGGAUAUCUGCAUGUUUGGUGGUGAGGAUGGCUCUCAGCAACGCCUUUGUAUAGUUUGGCAACAACAACCCGUGCCCAGUUAAACCGUUUCAGACUGGCAGUUCAAGCUCUUGAGAUAUAUAGUAUUUCUGCUUCUGCAAUGUGUCUGUUAUAUCUAUCAACUAUCAUGUGAAGUGAUACUAACACUAUGCCUUGAACUGCUACCUAUGAUAGUCGAACUAUCAUGUAGUAUUUUUGGCUGAAAAUUUAUGCAAAACUUUGUAUAUAUGCUCCUGUAAUGGCAUGAUCUACAAAGCCCAAUUGUUCAGGCAAGGCUAUAUUUUAAAGUUCAGGUUAUAUUUGACACAUUUGUUGCCAACCUCUUGCAUGUGGAAA